rnacentral:lncRNA from 1 species
UUAAAGAGCAAAACGAAAGACCUAAAAAUUAGUCCUGCUAUGCUAGGACAUGGGACAUAGGACUGUUAAAUCCACAGAGCCUAGUAAAAUGGCAGGCACCUGGCAGCAGAGUAUGCUUCAUGAGUGAUUCCCUUCACUAAGGAACAAUCAUUAAACAUACAAGGAACCCUACCCAGCCCCUUUGAGGUCCCUCCCCCUAUUCUCAUAUUUGCUUUUUAGAUUAGUUACCUCUGGUAAUAAGAUUGUUAUUUUUAAUGUAUUAAGUUAUCUCUUUUUUGUCCCUCCCACUGCUCACCAUGAUGCUGGGUUUAUUCUAAAGGUGUAACAAUUAGUCAGGUUGAUGAAGAAACAUUCUCCAUAUUUGCACCAACACCUACUGCAAUGCAUGAGGCAAGAGACUUCAUUACAGAAAUUUGCAGAGAUGAUCAAGAGCAACAAUUGGAAUUUGGAGCAGUUUAUACCGCUACAAUAACUGAAAUCAGGUAAUUACAAGUAAACAGUGGGUUCACUUUUAAAAGACUUGUACUGCAAGCCCAGACUCAC